rnacentral:tmRNA from 1 species
GGGGGCGAUUUGGCUUCGACGGGGGCAAUGAGGUCAAAGCUGCAUGCCAGGUUAUCUACCGACCUGCUAAUAAGGUAGAACUAAAGAUAAUCGCAGAUAAUUACGAUUACGCCUUAGCUGCCUAAUAGAAGCAGCUAACGUCCUUCCGUUCCAGCCUGCAGGUUCGGAUAAGGGCGUCGAUAUUGCAGGCUAUCUUAUCCCUGACGCUUAUAGGGGAUAAGAGAAAAAUUUGAUAAGCUAGCCUGAUAAUCUCCUGCCUGGAGGAGGUUGUCAAGGCGAAAGGGAAAUCCAGGAUAAGCAUGUAGAGGCUUUGGUGCGAAUGUCUCCGGACGCGGGUUCGAUUCCCGCCGCCUCCACCA